rnacentral:rRNA from 1 species
ACGCUCGACACCUACGAGAGGCAGCAGUGGGGAAUAUUGCACAAUGGGGGAAACCCUGAUGCAGCGACGCCGCGUGAGUGAAGAAGUAUUUCGGUAUGUAAAGCUCUAUCAGCAGGGAAGAAGAUGACGGUACCUGAGUAAGAAGCCCCGGCUAACUACGUGCCAACAGCCGCGGUAAUCUGAGCGGGCUGGCAAGGC